CUAAUGCAGUUCACUCCUAUAUGUGUUAAAGUUGAUUUAAUGUAAGUUACUGAGAAUCUGAUUUAACGAUUGAUUUCCACAGGUAAUUUCGGGUAUACAUUGUAUAUGCUACCCUCGUCUACCAUUCUUCGGACUGAACACCUAUUCACGCUGAGCAGUGAAGGUUGUCUAUAUAGAAGCCGCCUUCUCCAACCAUCUUCCUCUGUUUGAGAAAUGAUGUUUCCAUUCGCUAUAUUGUUAGUGUUAACACUAGCUUCACAAGUCAAAUCCCAAUGCGGGCCAAGCCAGCAGUCCGUGGAGCUGUCCAUAUACAAGAAAAAAGAAAUCCAUAUCGUCAGUACAGGGGGAUUUCAAAGCAACAUGACAUGCUCCUGGAAGGUAUCAUCACCUCAUCCAUCAGCUCACAUCCUGGUGCAGCUGAAGGGAGUCUGGCUCGGGGAUGACGACUACAUUAGUAUAUAUGACGG